rnacentral:rRNA from 1 species
UGGCUAUCUGGUCGAUCCGCAGACCGCUGAAAUAAUCAAGUCGGUGCUGAAAUCCACCGCCUCGAUCCGCUCGAUCGCGUCUGUGGUGAAUGUCGAGGCGAACUCGUUCGAUGAGCUGAUCGACCAUACCGAUGUGGGCGCGGGCUGGACCGAUGAGAACACCGCUGCGAGUGAGACCGCGACCCCGUCGAUUGACCGUAUCUCGAUCUCGCUGCACGAACUGAGCGCGCUGCCCAAGGCUUCGCAGCGGCUGCUGGAUGACAGCGCAUUCGACGUCGAGGGCUGGCUGGCCGGCCGUAUCGCCGACAAGUUCGCCCGCGCCGAGGCGGCGGCUUUCAUCAACGGUGACGGCAUCGACAAGCCCAAGGGCAUCCUGAGCCAUCCGGCGGUGGACAAUGAUGUCUGGACCUGGGGCAACCUGGGCUAUGUGCCCACCGGUGUCGCGGGCGGCAUCGAUGCGGAUGCGAUCGUGGACGUGGUCUAUGCGCUGGGCGCGCAGUACCGCGUGAACGGCACCUUCGUGAUGAAUUCGAAAACCGCGGGCGUGAUCCGCAAGUUGAAGGAUGCCGAUGGUCGCUUCCUGUGGUCGGACGGCCUGGCGGCCGGCGAGCCCGCGCGUCUGAUGGGUUAUCCGGUGCUGAUCGCCGAGGACAUGCCCGAUCCGGGCACCGACAGUUUCUCGAUCGCGUUCGGUGACUUCUCGGCCGGCUAUACCAUUGCCGAGCGCCCCGACCUGCGCGUGCUGCGUGAUCCGUUCAGCGCAAAACCGCACGUGCUGUUCUA